UGGGGAAUCUUCCGCAAUGGACGAAAGUCUGACGGAGCAACGCCGCGUGAGUGAUGACGGCCUUCGGGUUGUAAAGCUCUGUUAAUCGGGACGAAUGGUUCUUGUGCAAAUAGUGCGAGGAUUUGACGGUACCGGAAUAGAAAGCCACGGCUAACUACGUGCCAGCAGCCGCGGUAAUACGUAGGUGGCAAGCGUUGUCCGGAAUUAUUGGGCGUAAAGCGCGCGCAGGCGGAUUGGUCAGUCUGUCUUAAAAGUUCGGGGCUUAACCCCGUGAUGGGAUGGAAACUGCCAAUCUAGAGUAUCGGAGAGGAAAGUGGAAUUCCUAGUGUAGCGGUGAAAUGCGUAGAUAUUAGGAAGAACACCAGUGGCGAAGGCGACUUUCUGGACGAAAACUGACGCUGAGGCGCGAAAGCCAGGGGAGCGAACGGGGUUAGAUACCCCGGUAGUCCUGGCCGUAAACGAUGGGUACUAGGUGUAGGAGGUAUCGACCCCUUCUGUGCCGGAGUUAACGCAAUAAGUACCCCGCCUGGGGAGUACGACCGCAAGGUUG
rnacentral:rRNA from 1 species